rnacentral:rRNA from 1 species
UUGACCUCGGAUCAGGUAGGGAUACCCGCUGAACUUAAGCAUAUCAAUAAGCGGAGGAAAAGAAACCAACCGGGAUUGCCUCAGUAACGGCGAGUGAAGCGGCAAGAGCUCAAAUUUGAAAUCUGGCCCCCUCGGGGUCCGAGUUGUAAUUUGCAGAGGAUGCUUCGGGUGCGGCCCCCGUCUAAGUGCCCUGGAACGGGCCGUCAUAGAGGGUGAGAAUCCCGUCUGGGACGGGGUGUCCGCGUCCGUGUGAAGCUCCU